rnacentral:rRNA from 1 species
CAGCAGCCACGGUAAUACGUAGGUGGCGAGCGUUGUCCGGAAUUAUUGGGCGUAAAGGGAGCGCAGGCGGACAUAUAAGUCCAUCUUAAAAGUGCGGGGCUCAACCCCGUGAGGGGAUGGAAACUGUAUGCUUUGAGUGCAGGAGAGGAAAGCGGAAUUCCCAGUGUAGCGGUGAAAUGCGUAGAUAUUGGGAGGAACGCCAGUGGCGAAGGCGGCUUUCUGGACUGCAACUGACGCUGAGGCUCGAAAGCCAGGGGAGCGAACGGGAUUAGAUACCCCCGUAGUCCCUGUCUCUUAUACA